CAAAUACUCCCUCCGUCCGGAAAUACUUGUCAUCAAAAUGGAUAAAAGGAAAUGUAUCUAGAUGUAUUUGAGUUUUAGAUACAUAUCUUUUUAUCCAUUUUGAUGACAAGUAUUUUCGGACGGAGGGGGUAGAAA
rfam:Triticum aestivum genome assembly, contig: Triticum_aestivum_CS42_TGACv1_scaffold_273036_3DS